rnacentral:lncRNA from 1 species
UGGACAGAAAAUUAACAAAGAAAAACCGCACCAGGGGCAAUUUUGUCAUCUGUCGCGACGGUGUCGAAAUUCGUCGAAAUUUGGUAGGUUGAUUGGAAACGGCCCGCGAAAUUGAACUCGGUGCACAAACCCGGGAUCACAGAAUUUUGGCCCAAUUCCUUCGUUUCGAGCUCCUAAUAAUUAAUUUCCGUAUUAAUUAUGUCAGGUUGAAGAAGUGCUGGACAGAAAAUUAAGAAAGAAAA